rnacentral:rRNA from 1 species
UACGGAGGGGGCUAGCGUUGUUCGGAAUUAUUGGGCGUAAAGCGCGCGUAGGCGGUUACUCAAGUCGGAUGUGAAAGCCCUCGGCUUAACUGAGGAAGUGCACCCGAAACUGAGUAGCUAGAGUACUAAAGAGGGUCGCGGAAUUCCCGGUGUAGAGGUGAAAUUCGUAGAUAUCGGGAGGAACACCGGUGGCGAAGGCGGCGACCUGGGUAGAUACUGACGCUGAGGCGCGAAAGCGUGGGGAGCAAACAGG